rnacentral:lncRNA from 1 species
CCGGUCCACCCGGGCCGUGCAGAUUGAUCAUCGAAGUCAGCAUUCAAUCGCGGUGUUCUAGAAGUCGGAGAGCUCAGGGGAGGUGUGACAGGAGCACUGAUGGAGCCACUAUGAAAGUAGGGAUGAGGAAGUUUCGGAGAUGAUCCUGAAGAUGAAGCUGUGGAGAGGUUUUUGAGCCAUGGAAUGAGGGAAUUACCAUCAGCGUUACGAUUUGCAGCGUAAGGGGAUGAAGAUGGACUCGGGAAGGAAGACGAGCCGGGGCUUGGAUGGUAAGAUGAACAAGGGCUUGCAGCUGAUGAUCCACCAACCAUAUCCAUGUUCUCUAAAGGCUUGCAUCCCUGCUUGUGUUCAAUUUUUUCCAUCAAUUUAUCAAACAUUAGCAUGUGAAAACCUACCUAGGCUCAAAUUCUUUCUGUCUUGAUUUUUUAUCAAUUGAACUAUACAUAGGCUCAAAUUCGCAAUAUCAAAAAUAUUUUUGUCCAUCUUAAGAAAAAAUCUUCCUCUAACAUAGCCAAAUGUCACACUUAUAGUUACAUUUUAGUAUUAAAUCAUUGCACUAAUAAUAAUUAACACAUUUUAGUAUUAAUAGUAGAUUAUACCAGAAUUUGGUUACUCAAGUUUUUCAGAAAAAACUUAGGUUCAUGUUCAUAUUAACCACAUAAAACUUAGAUAUAAGGCCAUGUAAUUUAACAAGAGAUAAAAAGUAAUAACAUUGGAUUCUAAUUAUAAACGUGAUUUCAAACAUGUCUCUCUCAUUUGGAAUGAAAUGAAUCAAGAAGAGUAACUUUACUGAGCACCUUCACAAAAGAAGGAUCAAUCAUGAGAAGAAGUGAGGCAAAUGGGUAUACAUAUAAUGGAAUCCUAUGUGGCCACCAACUAUGGAAUGGAACACCUGAAUUGGCAAAUGUACCCUCUCCAUUUUCUAAAUUACCAGGUUCAAUAUGACUUUAAUAGACAGAAAAAGGCACCAAACAAGGGCAUUUUGGUCACUCAACAAUUAGAAAAUAGAAAAUAAAAAAUAAAAAGUUACGGUUUCUCAGGUGACUAUGAGUCAAAGAAAGUGAUAGAAAAUUUAGUGUUUCCCACUAAAAUGUCAUGACCACUUUCUACACUUUUGGUGCAAAAUCAAAUAUGAAAAAAAGAAAAUAACAUUGAUUCACAUUUUUUAUUUUUCUCUCUUUUAGUAGAGAGAUACCAGUUUACUACCAAUUUAUCAUUUCUAAUAUUAACCAUUUAUGUCUCUCUGGUUUAAGAUGAAGUUCAUUUAAAUUAUUAACUUCCAUUUCAAUUUCUCUUCCAAAAUCAUUAAUAUGAAGGUCAAUUAUUGCCAUCUACACCACAUCAUCAUAGUUUUUUUAUGUCAUAGAAACUGCAACAAGAACGGUAUAUGUUUGAAAUGACAAUGAGUUUAGCAAAAUAGUCUAAUACUGUCGCAAUUUUGACAAAAAGUACAUUUUAAAACUUUAACAAAAUCACACCGGUGUCCAUGUGAUUUUACAAACUCGUUGUCUAUUCAGACAUGCACAAAUGUUGUAUCAAUCACAUUUGACCGUAAUCCUCAGCACCAUCGAUUACUAUCAGUCCAAACACGGACACAACAAUUACUACAACCACUUUUUAAAACAUUGAUGUUCUUUUAUUAUUCAAAAAAAAAAAAAAACAUUGAUGUUCUUUUAAAGAUAAAAUAAUAAUGUAAGAGAUUAAUUGUCAUGCAUAAGUGGUGUAAAACUUUUUUACACAUGCAUCCGUCAAAUCACAUUUUAAUAUCAUUUUAUAGGUUAGUUUCAAAAAUAUAUCCAUAAAAAUCUAUAUUGCAUGAUUUAGUUGAUUGUCCGUGUAAAAAGUUUUACACCGUUUAUAUAUACAAACUAAAUCCAUAAUGUAACAAUGCAAAGUAAUGUUACCUUACGAUAAGUGGUUCCAUCAGGUUCAACAGUCCAACCAGCUUCAUUACAAAGAGCUUUAAGAACUUCAUUGUUAUCACAAUGUUUAGGUAAUCUAAAGUUACCAUACAUUCUCAAACCAGAGAAGAUCUUAGCAGCUAUAGCUCUUCUUCUUCUCUCUCUCCUCUUGUUGUUCUCUCUCUCCUUCCAUGUUGGUAGUCUUGUACCUGAUGUCAUUGAGAGUAACUCUCAAAAGGGUGUUCACAAAAUGGAGAAAAGAAGUGAACUUUGAAGUAGAGAAAGAGGGAGGUGUGGAAGUACAAGAAGUGGGGUGUUGUUAGUAUAUUUGGAAAUGGAUUUGGAGGUGGAGGGUGAUCUUUGUCGGAAAAAUGAGAGAGUGAGAGGGAAAAUUGUGGAAUGAAAAUGAAGGAAAGGGAAAAAGUGAAGGGAAGCGUGGAUUUUGGGUGGGGUAUAUGUACUUGAUUAGCCAAAUUUGCGGAUCCAAUCAUAAUAAAUCAUCAAUAUUAGAUUUUGGUGUUGGAUUUUCUUAUAUUGGAGUUUAACCUUGGGUUUUAUUGAUUAGGUGUAAAUUAAACAUGACAACAAAACUUGGAUUUACAAGUAUCCGUCCAAAUCUAACUUAAGUUGAUGAGUUUUUUCCGAUUUGAUUAGGUUAGGGUAUAUAUUUGAGUUUUUCUCGUUUUUAAAAUACGAGACGGGUAACGGAGAUAUAAGUAUCCACCUUGAAUUCGUCUUGAAUGUAAAAAAGACCGUUAUGCAACACACGAUCAUCUAAUUGUCGUCCUUACUUUUGAGAUAUUAUUAAACUUUUAAUCGUUGUGAACAUUUAAGUAGUUUAAAUAUAUAUGAUGUUGGUGUUUUCCUGCCCCAAAUGGGUUAAGAUUAAUAGAAAGAAGGUGGAAAUUAAUUUAUGGUAGUAGGUUCGGGUAUAAACUAUGAGUUUAGGAAAAAUUCUUGGUUUGGGGUUGGUGCUGGAAAAACUUUUUUUUAUUAAAAAAUUGAUUUCACUGUAGGGAUAAGACGGGACGAGGAUAAUCGAACUUGUUGGAGAUAAAGAUGAUGUUCAAUUUCUCAUCCUUAUUAUGUUUUAGAUAAGGUAGCAUGUAAGUAUCUGAGAUUUGAGGAUGGAGACAUGGAAAGUGAAACUCAUGUGUUCGGUGUGUUCAAAUGCUUUGCAUAAACGAGGUGUGUGUAAAAAAAAUCAAAUGAAUGAAGUUGAGUCUAUUAAUUCAUAUAAGCCUAUCCAAAAAACCAAUAAAGUUUUCUUUUUUGACAAAAAAAACCAAAUAAAGUUAAAAAUAUGAUUUAUUAAAAUAAAUACAUUUUCAUCUUUCAAAACAAAAAUAUAUCUUUAAAAAGAUGGGCUAUGAUAAAAGUGAAAUAAUAAUAACCGAAGUAGUGCUAUCCUUUUUUUCUUUUUGUUCUUUUUUAUUUAUUUAUUGGUUUUAAUUUGCCUUCAAUAGCUGACCAUAAAAGGAUAAAAGUGUGAGUGUGAUAUUUAGUCCCUUUUUCUUUUUGCCAUAGACCAUGGUCAUGUGGGUUUAUUGAUGAAAGUUCAGAACUGUUUGUUCAAUUAAUGCAACUUUUUUCCUGAAAAUGUUAGAUUCUACUGUGCAGAAGAACCAUUUUUUUUCCUGGUGGAAAGAAACCUUUUUUUUUUUUAAUAAAAGAAGAACCUUUGUUCUACAUAUUUGAAUUUGUCGUUGCAAAAUGAAAAUGGAUACUGCGACAAAAAAAAAAAUUAAAAUUCACACUAAUAAUUUUGUUAUACUUUUUUUAGCAACAUAAUUUUGCUAUACCUUUUUUUUAGGGAUAAUCUCAAAACAUUAAUUUAAAUAUUUAAUAGUCAUAUGUUAAUUUGUUUAUCUUAUGGUAAAAUUAAUUAAAAUAGUAAUAUAUAGUUUGACAAUAGGCAAAUAGGAACAUCUAGUGGAAGUAUCUUAGAGAAUGCUUAAAACAUAUUAAAUUGUAACUUAACAUCUUUUACCAUUAGAGACGAACUAUGUGGCACUAUGGAUUACAUAAACAUGUGAGAGUAUCUCGAACAAGGUACUAUUCCAUAUCAAUUAAAAAUGAGUAUAUUGAACUAAAUAAAAAUUAUUAAAGUGCUCUAAAAAAUUUAUGUGUUUGGUAAAAACAAAUAUUGAAGUGUUGGUUCUAUAAAGAUUGCUUAAAUUUUUUAGCAUUGGAGUGAAAAUAUGUUUGAAUUGUUUAAGGGUGACAUGAUAUUGCGAAAAUCAGCUAUAAAAUCAACUUUAAAUUCAAAAAGUGAGAGAGAAAAAAAAAGUUUCAAAAGUGACCUUAACACCCUUAAUACUUUGAAAGAAUGGGAAUUUAAUAUACUUUUUACGUGAUAUAAUUAAAAUUGGAAAUUUGAAAGAGAUGAAAAAGAGAUGUAUUAUAGUGUAAACUUUCUCUUGCAAUUGUCAAUUGUGAGUGCAAAAUAGGCACAUGAUGAAUCCUUUAAUCCAGAACUAGGCCCCAGUUUUUUUUAUGUCUUCUCUUCCACCAACCAAAGUAACUUUAAUUAGAGUUUGGAGAGGAACAUCCAGGGCCUACACCACAAAUAAGACACAAUUUUCACUGGCCAAUUGCAAAAAAAGAAAACAUAUAUAGAAGCAAACUCACAAAAUAAUUAAAAAGAACCGAAAAGGAAAUGUAGAGCUUUUGAGUAAAUGGUAAAGUAGUAGUGCAUCAUGUAUGUGAUUGUAGAUGAUGCUGUGAAACUCAAUGAUGGUAGCUUCUUUGGAAACUCGGGUUGCUCUGGUUAUGGAGAUUUAAUUUGUGAUUCUCCUUUAUAAUCAAGCUGAACAUGAAGCUUUUAUCAUAAUUUUAACCCAUUUGGGAUUAGUCUAGCGGUUGGCUUGGGAUCUUGGAGUGCGUUCCUCUUAAAGUCUCAAGUUCGAUCCCUCUGGUGCCAAUUUUAGUGGAGAGUGGGAUUGGUCUACUCAGAUUAAUCGGUCCUUGGAUUGAAUAUCGAGUUUAAAGAAGAAUUUUUUUUUAACAUUUUAUUUAACUCUUUGAUAGAGUUUAAUAGAUAAGAAAUCCAUGUACUAUAUUGUGAUGUGAUUUUUUGUCUAAUAAUAAUAUGAAUUAACUUCUCUUCUGUAAAAUAUUUGACACCAAAUUUAAAAAUUUAGAAUCUCCACUUGGCACAUGUUACCCAUCUUUAUUAAUGAAAAUUCAAAUUAAAAGUAGAAUCAGAUCAUAAUCUUCAACUGACUUUUUCCCUAUCCUUUGUAUUUGUACUCAUGGCUCUUGUUUUAUAUUCUUGGCAUCACUCAUCAUUGGAAAUGACCUACGUACUUUCUACUCUCUUCAAUUCAAUCUUCAUAAUGAAAUAUAUGUCAUAUCUCUCUUACCAUAUCUACGUUCCUUUCACUCCAUGAAAAUGACAGUCACAAUUUAAUUUAAGAAAAAGGAAAAGCACUAAUUAUUGAACAAAGUGAAGGUUCUGUUCAAUUUUGAUCCAUUGACAACUAGGAGUUUAAAAAGAAGGGUAAGCUCUUCCAAGAAGCUUUUGUUUAAUCAAAGAGUAAUAAAUCACAAUAAUAGAAGUAAGAAGAUACCAUUCAUAGUCACACAAUGGCACCGUUACAGCAAAUAUUGACAUGGCAAGGACAAAAAAUAUUCGUAGCCAAACUCAAAUAUCAGGUCAAAGAUAUUCGAAAAACAGACACAUCACAAGAGGACAGAUCCAUUCCAGUUUCUGAAAAAUGAUCAGUGUGAAGGUAGCAAGUACUGGCAUAUUGGUCCACAGGUGAUCAUUAAAAACAAGAACUUUUUAGUUCUUUUGAUUUCAGAAAUCUAAGAAAAAUGGUAUAUUUUGUCACCCUGAAAAAAAAAUCAGAAAAACAAGUGAUAGAAAAUUGGAAAAGAUAUAUGGUAGGCCUAUAACCCAAUCCGAAUUUGCAUUUAACUUCCUUGGUCAUGCAGGUACAUUUGAAUCUUUUGCCUAAUUUUACUUUGAAUAUAAAUACCAACCCAAUCCAUUACAGGUAUAUUGAUCUUUCCAAUAGUAUUUGAGGGUUUAACAUGAUUGACCAAAAUGAAAGGGUUGAAAAAUCAUCCCACACCUAACUACUAACUAAAGUUGUAUACAUAAUAUAUAACUUAAGAAUAAAUAAGACCUUAGAGAAAAUAAAAGAAUAAAAUAAAAUAAAAUGGAAGAGCAAAUGCUCGCUUUCAUCACCUUAACUCCCUCCUCUAACUUUUCUACAUAAUAUAACAGAGUCAAAUUUCAUAUUGAGGGGACCACUGACUAUUCAUUUAUGCAGCACUUUUUUUUGGGAUAGCUCAUUUAUGCAGCAUUUUACCUGCAACAAAGUGAAUUCAGGUUACACUUUUAUUCAAAAUGAAUGAAUAAUAAAAAAUCAAAAUUUCAAUAUAUCAAAUAUACAUGUUUUUUUAAUUUUGCCCUGUUUUUCAAAUGUUGUCACUACCUACCUGGUCUUUGAGGUACCAAGAGUGAGCUCUAAAUCAUCUGAUCCAGAAUCUUCAUGGAUCCUCUCUCCUUCCCAAGGCUUCACCAAACCAACUGCACUGCUUCCAAAGGCAAAUUCAUCUGAAAUAGCUUCAGACAUUGGUAUGUCAGCAUUAUGAUCAGAGCCUGCAGCUAAAGCUGGAGAACAUGUCCCACUUUGUCCAGGGGUCCACAUGCGGGAAUCACUGCCACAGAAAACCUCUUCCCUGAAGCCAAAUGGAUUAGUAGCAACUAGGCUGAAGGUAGGAGAAGUUUGCCCGCUGUGGGGCAUCCUAAUACCAGCAAACCAAUCUGGGUCGAGAACUUGGCGACCAGGGCUAGGAGGAGUGGAGGAAGGCUGGAAAGAGUACUGCUGCCCACCCCACCCAGGGCGAGUAGACUGAUCCUCCCAGUCAGCUUUCCUCUGGGGUGAUCGAGCAGUUGGAGAGCUAAGUGGAGGAGUGACAGGAGCACUGAUGGAGCCGGUGUGAAUAUAUAGCUGUGGAAGCUUGGAAGAGGAUGCUGAUGAUGAUCCAGAUGAGAGGUUUUUGAGCCAUGGAAUGAGGGAAUUUCCAUCACCAUUAGGAUUUACAGCAUGGGAUGAGCGCGGGCUAGGGAAGGAAGAAGAGCCAGGACUUGGGUUGUAGGAAGCACAGGGACUUACAUGGUAAGAUGAACACGGGCUUCCCAUUG